ACAACACCUUACAUGCAGCUCAGAGAGAAUGUUAUGUGUUUAAAGACAAAAAGAUUUUUCUAAUCAUUUGUGUACAUUUUUUUUUUUAGAGGGGUUUAUUAUCCUCAGUAAGCCUGGGAUAAAAUCCUUGUGUAACCUAUUAAUCUAGGAUUGCCAUCUGCAAGUACAUGUGUGCUUGUGUGUAUGCAUCACUGUGUAUGCACACAGAUGGAUGGAGCGCCCAACUCUGUUAAUCAGGAAUCUGUCUCUUUAAUGACUGGAAGGGAAUCAUAUGUGCCUGACUUUCAAGAGAAAGGUGUGAUGAGAUAGCAACACUGGGGUUUGUUCUUUGUACAAAUUGCAAAGGGAGCCAGAGUUACUGCUCCAGUGUAUAGGUGGAUGGGCAGAUAAGUAGACAGAAUAGAAAAAUAGGCAGAUUAAAGAUGGACUGGGAUGAAUACAUUAAAUGGCUGCAGAAGGAGUGCUGUUGUUAAAUGGAAAUGCUUCACUAUUGUUCAGACUUCAGCUAUCUUCCUGGGUUUGGAACAAUCUAAUAAUCUACUUUUGAUGAGAACAGUGAAUGAGAGUGCAAACGUCAGACACAGCUGUGUGUGUGGGGGAGGUUCAAAGCAAUCACCUUGUUCAUGUGUGGUCAGCCUGGUGCACCUGGGUGUGCUAUUGGUCUGUUGGAGAAGGACCCGUUGCUAUGGAGCACAGCCAGGUGCCAUCCAUUCUGCCCAUGCUGGGGAACAUUGAGGGUCCCUCCUGCUCAGUGAGAUCACGGAACACACUGAGUUGGGAAGGACCCAUAAGAGUCAUUGAAUCCAGCCUCUGCCUCCACACAGCACCACCCAAACCCUGUGUCUGAGAGCAGUGUCCCAGUGCUGUGCCCACUGCCCUGAGGAGCAUGUUCUAUGCUCAGUGCCCUCAGGUGCAGAACCUUCACCUUUCAGUGAUGGACCUUGGAGUCCCCAGAGGUCAAGGUGCCAGGUGUGUGCUGUUGGUGUGCUGCUGUGACUAGGAUGGCCGCAGGUCCCACAGGCGGUGGGUUUGCACAGAGCUGCCUCUUCACUGGAGAUUUGGGAACAGUCUCCCCAGAUCCCUUUCCCAGUGGAUGAACUUGUUGAGAUGAGACAAUUUUUGCAGCGCCUGAUCGGCAAAAUAAUGCUUGUGUGCCUUGGUCUGCCAGAAGAGGAGCUGCUGAGGGACUGUGGGCUGUCAACACUGCUGCAGGGUCAGUCAGCAUUACUGGACUGCUGCAGCUUCUGUAAGCACGACUCUUGUAAUGGGAGUGUGCUCACUGAGCAUGAUGGUGGAGGAGCUGUGUCCUGCUGCCUCUUUUUUGACUAUUCCCCUCACUGCAGACAUGGGAACCUCUGGCAUUAAUGAGAGAAACCUCCAUCUGCCCCAUGUAAGUAAGUGUGAUUCUUUCCUGAAAAAUACCAGCCUGAUCAGGUGGGAGGUGUCCCAGCCCGCAGCAGGGGCUGGAAGUGGGUCAUUUUAAAGGUCCCUUCCCCUCCAAACCAUUCUGAGUCUACGAUGAUACCCAAACUAAUGGUACACAUAUGCCUGUGUCACUGCAGCUAUUUUGCUAAAUGUUCCCCAAAUGAGGCUGUUUCUUUGCAACUGCACAUUUGGCUUGUAAGGGUGGUCUGUUUUUAGAAAGAACUUAAGCACAGCAGAGGAAGAGCAACCUGGUACCUGGCUGCAUAUGCCAGCAAAAUAGGGUUUUGCAUCUGCUGCAUUACACAGAGCAACUGCUUCAUUCAUUGCCUGCUCCUAACAACAAACAGGUGCAGUCAGCCUUUCAGACAAUCUUCCUUUAAUACAAAGUCAAUAUAUCUACAUACACUGUGGUAUGAAAACCACUUAAUGUUUCAGUUUGAAAUAACAGUGUGAAAGCAACAGCACUUUGCUCUCAUACAAAGAAAAAAAAAACCUUCCCCCACCCCACCCCAACUCUUCCAGUAAGAUUUUGCUGCAACAUACUUAGAAAUUUGGGCAACUUUCACACAAAUAAGAAGUAAAAUCUCGAAGAAGCCUUUUGUUCUUUUUUUUUUUUUUCUUCUCAGUU